GCAAAAUAAAACUGGAAAUAUAAGGAGAAGAUUAACAUGGCCCCCUAAGCAAGGAUGACAUGCACAAAUCCAGAAAAAAGAAAUUAACUU
rnacentral:snRNA from 1 species